GAUGAACGCUGGCGGCGUGCUUAACACAUGCAAGUCGAACGAUGAAGCCCAGCUUGCUGGGUGGAUUAGUGGCGAACGGGUGAGUAACACGUGAGUAACCUGCCCUUAACUCUGGGAUAAGCCUGGGAAACUGGGUCUAAUACCGGAUAGGAGCGCCUACCGCAUGGUGGGUGUUGGAAAGAUUUAUCGGUUUUGGAUGGACUCGCGGCCUAUCAGCUUGUUGGUGAGGUAAUGGCUCACCAAGGCGACGACGGGUAGCCGGCCUGAGAGGGUGACCGGCCACACUGGGACUGAGACACGGCCCAGACUCCUACGGGAGGCAGCAGUGGGGAAUAUUGCACAAUGGGCGAAAGCCUGAUGCAGCGACGCCGCGUGAGGGAUGACGGCCUUCGGGUGGUAAACCUCUUUCAGUAGGGAAGAAGCGAAAGUGACGGUACCUGCAGAAGAAGCACCGGCUAACUACGG
rnacentral:rRNA from 1 species